CAUGCAAGUCGAACGAACUCUGGUAUUGAUUGGUGCUUGCAUCAUGAUUUACAUUUGAGUGAGUGGCGAACUGGUGAGUAACACGUGGGAAACCUGCCCAGAAGCGGGGGAUAACACCUGGAAACAGAUGCUAAUACCGCAUAACAACUUGGACCGCAUGGUCCGAGUUUGAAAGAUGGCUUCGGCUAUCACUUUUGGAUGGUCCCGCGGCGUAUUAGCUAGAUGGUGGGGUAACGGCUCACCAUGGCAAUGAUACGUAGCCGACCUGAGAGGGUAAUCGGCCACAUUGGGACUGAGACACGGCCCAAACUCCUACGGGAGGCAGCAGUAGGGAAUCUUCCACAAUGGACGAAAGUCUGAUGGAGCAACGCCGCGUGAGUGAAGAAGGGUUUCGGCUCGUAAAACUCUGUUGUUAAAGAAGAACAUAUCUGAGAGUAACUGUUCAGGUAUUGACGGUAUUUAACCAGAAAGCCACGGCUAACUACGUGCCAGCAGCCGCGGUAAUACGUAGGUGGCAAGCGUUGUCCGGAUUUAUUGGGCGUAAAGCGAGCGCAGGCGGUUUUUUAAGUCUGAUGUGAAAGCCUUCGGCUCAACCGAAGAAGUGCAUCGGAAACUGGGAAACUUGAGUGCAGAAGAGGACAGUGGAACUCCAUGUGUAGCGGUGAAAUGCGUAGAUAUAUGGAAGAACACCAGUGGCGAAGGCGGCUGUCUGGUCUGUAACUGACGCUGAGGCUCGAAAGUAUGGGUAGCAAACAGGAUUAGAUACCCUGGUAGUCCAUACCGUAAACGAUGAAUGCUAAGUGUUGGAGGGUUUCCGCCCUUCAGUGCUGCAGCUAACGCAUUAAGCAUUCCGCCUGGGGAGUACGGCCGCAAGGCUGAAACUCAAAGGAAUUGACGGGGGCCCGCACAAGCGGUGGAGCAUGUGGUUUAAUUCGAAGCUACGCGAAGAACCUUACCAGGUCUUGACAUACUAUGCAAAUCUAAGAGAUUAGACGUUCCCUUCGGGGACAUGGAUACAGGUGGUGCAUGGUUGUCGUCAGCUCGUGUCGUGAGAUGUUGGGUUAAGUCCCGCAACGAGCGCAACCCUUAUUAUCAGUUGCCAGCAUUAAGUUGGGCACUCUGGUGAGACUGCCGGUGACAAACCGGAGGAAGGUGGGGAUGACGUCAAAUCAUCAUGCCCCUUAUGACCUGGGCUACACACGUGCUACAAUGGAUGGUACAACGAGUUGCGAACUCGCGAGAGUAAGCUAAUCUCUUAAAGCCAUUCUCAGUUCGGAUUGUAGGCUGCAACUCGCCUACAUGAAGUCGGAAUCGCUAGUAAUCGCGGAUCAGCAUGCCGCGGUGAAUACGUUCCCGGGCCUUGUACACACCGCCCGUCACACCAUGAGAGUUUGUAACACCCAAAGUCGGUGGGGUAACCUUUUUAGGAACCAGCCGC
rnacentral:rRNA from 2 species